UACGUAGGGGGCAAGCGUUAUCCGGAUUUACUGGGUGUAAAGGGAGCGUAGGUGGCAUGGCAAGCCAGAAGUGAAAACCCGGGGCUUAACCCCGCGGAUUGCUUUUGGAACUGUCAGGCUGGAGUGCAGGAGGGGCAGGCGGAAUUCCUGGUGUAGCGGUGAAAUGCUUAGAUAUCACGAAGAACUCCGAUUGCGAAGGCAGCUCACUGGACUGCAACUGACACUGAGGCUCGAAAGUGUGGGUAUCAAACAGG
rnacentral:rRNA from 1 species